UCGAAAUUCGUUACGUGCCGUAGCGCGAGGACGCUCGACUUGAAAGUUCCCGGCAUCACGAAGCAAACGCGUGUUUUAGGAAUUGAUUCGGAUAUGGAGCGAGCGGAAUUCAAUUCUAAAACGGUUUCCUUUACUCUAACCUGUGGACCAUUUAAGUAGAGAUCAAACUUAUUCGACGUAAAUUGUAAUGCAGAAAGUGAUUUAUCAUUUUGUCAGAUUAAGCUUACUCUGUUUAAUAUAAUAUACAAGCGAUUAAUAUAACGAUUUUACGCCUUUUUUU